GACGAACGCUGGCGGCGUGCCUAAUACAUGCAAGUUGAGCGCUGAAGGUUGGUACUUGUACCAACUGGAUGAGCAGCGAACGGGUGAGUAACGCGUGGGGAAUCUGCCUUUGAGCGGGGGACAACAUUUGGAAACGAAUGCUAAUACCGCAUAAAAACUUUAAACACAAGUUUUAAGUUUGAAAGAUGCAAUUGCAUCACUCAAAGAUGAUCCCGCGUUGUAUUAGCUAGUUGGUGAGGUAAAGGCUCACCAAGGCGAGGAUACAUAGCCGACCUGAGAGGGUGAUCGGCCACAUUGGGACUGAGACACGGCCCAAACUCCUACGGGAGGCAGCAGUAGGGAAUCUUCGGCAAUGGACGAAAGUCUGACCGAGCAACGCCGCGUGAGUGAAGAAGGUUGUCGGAUCGUAAAACUCUGUUGGUAGAGAAGAACGUUGGUGAGAGUGGAAAGCUCAUCAAGUGACGGUAACUACCCAGAAAGGGACGGCUAACUACGUG
rnacentral:rRNA from 1 species